rnacentral:misc_RNA from 1 species
GAUGAAAACGUAGCGAAAUGCGAUAAGUAAUGUGAAUUGCAGAUUUUCAGUGAAUCAUCGAAUCUUUGAACGCACCUUGCGCUCCCUGGUAUUCCGGGGAGCAUGCCUGUUUGAGUGUCAUUAAAUUCUCAACCCCGAUCGGAUUUGUUUUCGCAUUCGGAGGCUUGGAUAGUGGAGCGUGCUGGCCCCCUCUCAUGGGUCGGCUCCUCUCAAAUGCAUUCGCGGAAUCGACUUUGGUCCAUUUCGGUCAUCAGUGUGAUAAACGUUGCGCUGUUGGCUAGGAUCGAGGUGCCGCAUACAAUGGUCUUCGGACAAUUUUAUAAACCAUUUGACCUCAAAUCAGGUAGGACUACCCGCUGAACUUAAGCAUAUCAAUAGCGGAGGA